rnacentral:rRNA from 1 species
CAGUGCCACGGGAAUACGAAGGGUGCAAGCGUUACUCGGAAUUACUGGGCGUAAAGCGUGCGUAGGUGGUGGUUUAAGUCCGUUGUGAAAGCCCUGGGCUCAACCUGGGAAUUGCAGUGGAUACUGGGUCACUAGAGUGUGGUAGAGGAUAGUGGAAUUUCCGGUGUAGCAGUGAAAUGCGUAGAGAUCGGAAGGAACAUCUGUGGCGAAGGCGACUAUCUGGGCCAACACUGACACUGAGGCACGAAAGCGUGGGGAGCAAACAGGAUUAGAUACCCCCGUAGUCCCUGUCUCUUAUACA